UACGAAGGGGGCUAGCGUUGCUCGGAAUCACUGGGCGUAAAGGGUGCGUAGGCGGGUUUUUAAGUCAGAGGUGAAAUCCUGGAGCUCAACUCCAGAACUGCCUUUGAUACUGAAGAUCUUGAGUUCGGGAGAGGUGAGUGGAACUGCGAGUGUAGAGGUGAAAUGCGCAGAUAUCAGGAAGAACACCCGUGGCUAAGGCGGCUCUCUAGUACGGUACUGACGCUGAGACGCGAAAGCGUGGGGAGCGAACAGG
rnacentral:rRNA from 1 species